UGAAAUCUCACCACGUUGCCUAGGCUGGAGUGCAGUGGCUGUUCACGGGCGCUAUCACAGUACACCAAACCCUCGAACUCCUGGCCUCAAGUUUUCCUUCGGUCUCAGCCUCCUGAGUAGCUGGGGCUACAGGAUGCUCCUCUCAGAACCCAGAUACCGUGGGGAAUCUAGCUGCAGACUCAACUGAGCUUCCAGGAAAAGCAAGCAUCAAGUGCUGGCCCUGUGCAUAAGCCACCUUGAAUGUAUAGCCCGCGUCAGAUGACUGUAGCUCCAUCUUCUAUCUGACCACAAAUGUGUGAGAGACCCCAAUCGAGAGCUGUACAACUGAGAGCAGUCAAACCAUAGAACUCUUUCUCAUUCCUAUGGAGGAGAAAAUGAUUUCAACCUGACUCCAGAAAUCAUUAUAAAAAAGAUCCAGUGUACCAAACUGAUGAACUCAAGCCAGUCCAUCUUGAAUUCAAAUAACUGGACCAGGAUAUCUAAUUGCCAUUCCUACUAAAGAACUAAGUGGAAACUACUCUUGGACAUGAUCUGAUAGUGAGUAAAUUCACUCUCUGAGUUCAUUCUGCUCAGUUCUGUGAGAUGGAUUAUCUCUCCAAUGUAGUUGGUCAUCAUUUAAUGUUAUAUAUUUGUCUAAAUGACCUUUUGUGCCAUAUGAAAUCUUUGUUAUCUACAAAAAGUACAAUGUAAGUAUAAAACCCAAGCAAACCUUCCUUAGCUAACAAUGUGUUGUUUAACAAGGCACCAGAGCUGAUUAAUGCCACAAACAUUGUGUCUGUUAACAGUUGGGUUGAAAGACUAGGGUAUACCCUACUCCCCCAAGUGAUAACACAACUGUCAUUCAGAAUCUGUGUCUUGCUUUGUUUCAAAACCCUGGAGCAUAUGGUAUUUGUAUCUCAGACCUUAGGGAAUUCCUUUUUUAAGUUUAGAUAUACAGCUUCUUUCUUCAUUGUGAAAUGG